AAACUUUCAACAACGGAUCUCUUGGUUCUGGCAUCGAUGAAGAACGCAGCGAAAUGCGAUAAGUAAUGUGAAUUGCAGAAUUCAGCGAAUCAUCGAAUCUUUGAACGCACAUUGCGCCCGCCAGUAUUCUGGCGGGCAUGCCUGUUCGAGCGUCAUUU
rnacentral:rRNA from 1 species